AUUGAACGCUGGCGGCAUGCCUUACACAUGCAAGUCGAACGGCAGCACGGGAGCAAUCCUGGUGGCGAGUGGCGAACGGGUGAGUAAUGUAUCGGAACGUGCCCAGUCGUGGGGGAUAACGUAGCGAAGGCUACGCUAAUACCGCAUACGAUCUAUGGAUGAAAGCGGGGGAUCGCAAGACCUCGCGCGAUUGGAGCGGCCGAUAUCAGAUUAGGUAGUUGGUGGGGUAAAGGCCCACCAAGCCUGCGAUCUGUAGCUGGUCUGAGAGGACGACCAGCCACACUGGAACUGAGACAGGGUCCAGACUCCUACGGGAGGCAGCAGUGGGGAAUUUUGGACAAUGGGCGCAAGCCUGAUCCAGCAAUGCCGCGUGCAGGAUGAAGGCCUUCGGGUUGUAAACUGCUUUUGUACGGAACGAAACGGCUUUUUCUAAUACAGAGAGCUAAUGACGGUACCGUAAGAAUAAGCACCGGCUAACUACGUGCCAGCCGCCGCAGUAA
rnacentral:rRNA from 1 species